UGGAUUUAGUUGAAAUUUCAACCAGAAUUUGUAAAAGAGUUAUUUUUAUGAAUACAAAGAACAUAGUUAUGAAAGGAUUCAUAACAGCCUUUUUUGUAUGUAGGCCUAUUGCAUUUUGAGUGACACACCUAAAGUUAAAAAGCUAAAUAAAGCUGGCUGGAAAAAUCACAUGACAACAUGUAGGCCUACAUGUGGUUUUGCACCUAUAAAAAGCAUGUCACAUCACAAUGUGAAAUAUGUGAAACAGGUGCUUUGCACAUGUUAGAAAUGUACUUUUUACAUGGCAAAUGUGGUUUUAGAACAUUUUCGUUGCAUGAUGUGUGGAACCUAUGUGAUGACAUGUGAAACUGAUGCGCUCCCCAUAUAUUCUACAUGGUAACACAUUGCUUACAUGUCACCGCCUGUGCACUACCACAUGUGGAAAAACACGGGAAAUUAAUGUGGCUUUCUAUGUAACUAGAUGUCAGCCAUGGGUUCCCUCACCUGCUGGAUGUCUCCUCUCCCCUCAGCAGAACGGCCCUGCAGGUGUCUGACAUGGACCCUGGGGUACUACAAGAUUAUUUAUCUUUAGCAGCGUCAUCAGGCAGUGCAAGCUCAGCUCUGGUGACAGAUGAAGGGACUAACUGUGCAUGUGAUGGACUGCAACUUGCAAAACAACACCAGAGGGAUAAACAAUCUAGAAAUAAGCAUCAGGAUUACUGGAGCUGUCAUGUCUUGUGUAUUUAAAAUGUUAUAAGUUCACAUAUUUGCAGAAUACAAAAAUCACAUGUGA